rnacentral:lncRNA from 1 species
GCGGCCGCUCACAUUUGGUUAAUUGAGAUCACUUUUCCACAAUGAAAGCACUGUAUGGCUCAAAGUAGAAAAGUUUCAAAUUAUAACUUUUCCCACAAAAGGUUUGUGGGAAAUAAAACUCCUAUUGACACUACCCAGACCUCCAUUUGAUUAAUUUUCUGGUGCUGUUCUUGUUUUGUCUUUGAGUGCAUAAUACAUAAAAAAUAUAGCAGUGUGUUUUGUACCCCUUAAGUUUUCU